UACAGAGGGUGCGAGCGUUGUCCGGAAUCACUGGGCGUAAAGGGCGCGUAGGCGGCCUGAUAAGUAGGGGGUGAAAUCUUGCGGCUCAACCGCAAGGCUGCCUUCUAAACUGUCAGGCUGGAGCACGGUAGAGGCAGAUGGAAUUCCCGGUGUAGCGGUGGAAUGCGUAGAGAUCGGGAAGAACACCAGUGGCGGAGGCGGUCUGCUGGGCCGUUGCUGACGCUGAGGCGCGACAGCGUGGGGAGCAAACAGG
rnacentral:rRNA from 1 species